UUUUAAAGAGAGUUUGAUCCUGGCUCAGGACGAACGCUGGCGGCGUGCCUAAUACAUGCAAGUCGAACGAACAU
rnacentral:rRNA from 1 species